AAACCAACAGGGAUUGCCUCAGUAACGGCGAGUGAAGCGGCAAGAGCUCAAAUUUGAAAUCUGGUACCUUCGGUGCCCGAGUUGUAGUUUGAAGAUUGUACUCUGCGGUUGGCCCUUAUCUAUGUUCCUUGGAACAGGACGUCACAGAGGGUGAGAAUCCCGUGCGAUGGGGAGUCCGGCUGCAUGUAGAGUGCUCUCGAAGAGUCGAGUUGUUUGGGAAUGCAGCUCUAAGUGGGUGGUAAAUUCCAUCUAAAGCUAAAUAUUGGCGAGAGACCGAUAGCGAACAAGUACAGUGAUGGAAAGAUGAAAAGAACUUUGAAAAGAGAGUGAAAAAGUACGUGAAAUUGUUGAAAGGGAAGGUUAUUAGAUCAGACUUGGCGUUUGGCGAUAUUCGGCCCCUCGUGGGCUGUUCACUCGUCUUUCGCUGGGCCAGCAUCGGUUUGGGUGGCAGGACAAUGGCUGUUGAACGUGGCUUGCCUCGGCAAGUGUUAUAGCUUCAGCUGAUACUGCCUACCCGGACCGAGGACUGCGGCUUCUGCCUAGGAUGCUGGCGUAAUGAUCUAAUAUCGC
rnacentral:rRNA from 1 species